rnacentral:rRNA from 1 species
GUGGGGAAUAUUGGACAAUGGGCGCAAGCCUGAUCCAGCAAUGCCGCGUGGGUGAAGAAGGCCUUCGGGUCGUAAAGCUCUGUCAUCAGGGACGAACGGCCGGUGGAGUGGAAAGCCACCGGAUUGACGGUACCUGAGAAGGAAGCCACGGCUAACUACGUGCCAGCAGCCGCGGUAAUACGUAGGUGGCAAGCGUUGUCCGGAAUUAUUGGGCGUAAAGCGCGCGCAGGUGGGAUCUUAAGUCCAUUUUUAAAGUUCGGAGCUCAACUCCGUGAUGGGAUGGAAACUGGGAUUCUUGAGUACCGGAGAGGAAAGCGGAAUUCCCCGUGUAGCGGUGAAAUGCGUAGAUAUGGGGAGGAACACCAGUGGCGAAGGCGGCUUUCUGGACGGUGUCUGACACUGAGGCGCGAAAGCCAGGGGAGCGAACGGGAUUAGAAACCCGGGUAGUCC